GAUCCGGUGGCCCAGAGGUCUGAGCGUCUGUUUCAGAUGCGGUAGGUCCCGAGUUCAAAGCCCAGCCGAGUUA